rnacentral:rRNA from 1 species
GAUGAACGCUGACAGAAUGCUUAACACAUGCAAGUCUACUUGAAGCUAACUUCGGUUAGUGGAUGGUGGCGGACGGGUGAGUAACGCGUAAAGAACUUGCCUCACAGAUUGGGACAACAUUUGGAAACGAAUGCUAAUACCGGAUAUUAUGAUACUUCCGCAUGGAAGAAUCAUGAAAGCUAUAUGCGCUGUGAGAGAGCUUUGCGUCCCAUUAGCUAGUUGGAGAGGUAACGGCUCACCAAGGCGAUGAUGGGUAGCCGGCCUGGGAGGGUGAACGGCCACAAGGGGACUGAGACACGGCCCUUACUCCUACGGGAGGCAGCAGUGGGGAAUAUUGGACAAUGGACCAAAAGUCUGAUCCAGCAAUUCUGUGUGCACGAUGAAGUUUUUCGGAAUGUAAAGUGCUUUCAGUUGGGAAGAAGCAAGUGACGGUACCAACAGAAGAAGCGACGGCUAAAUACGUGCCAGCAGCCGCGGUAAUACGUAUGUCGCAAGCGUUAUCCGGAUUUAUUGGGCGUAAAGCGCGUCUAGGUGGUUAUAUAAGUCUGAUGUGAAAAUGCGGGGCUCAACUCCGUAUUGCGUUGGAAACUGUAUGACUAGAGUACUGGAGAGGUAAGCGGAACUACAAGUGUAGAGGUGAAAUUCGUAGAUAUUUGUAGGAAUGCCGAUGGGGAAGCCAGCUUACUGGACAGAUACUGACGCUAAAGCGCGAAAGCGUGGGUAGCAAACAGG